rnacentral:lncRNA from 1 species
UUAUAAUUUUUCUCCAAUAUAGAAAUUUUUCAUGUAAAUUUUUGUAUUAUUUUAUUAGCUUUAUUCUCCACCUAUUUUCUAUUUACUAUUUAUUUCAUAUUUUUUCUUGCAAAUCUUAGGUGAGAUUAAUUAUUUCUUAGCAGGUGAUAAUAGAGCUAAGGCUGCAAUGUAGAGCAAAUACGUCAGCAAGGAGGUUUUCAAAACUUAUGAAGAUAGAAAUAGAAAAAUUUGACGGAAUAAUUAAUUUUGGCUUUUGGGAAGCUCAAGUCAAUAACAUACUGAUUCAAUCUGUCUAUACAAGUAAAGCAAAGAGCAAUGUCAGGCCUAUUCCACUAGUAGAAACCCCUGGAGGAGUGUAGGUAAUCAAAACAUCUUAAAAGAGAUUGUUAGAAUAUAGCAAAUUUGGAAAGUAGCUGUAAAUUAAUAGAAGGAGAUACUAAUUAUCUCAUCUAUUGGUGUGUCGUGGAAGAGGAUGUGUUAUUGCUAAUGGGUCCACAAGAUGUGCACACAACAUGUAGUUUAGUAUUUAUGCAAGGUAUGUGGUGGACUUUUUAUCUUGAUCGUUGAGGACUCUCAAAGAAGCCAAACAUGAGAGUGGGUAACUUCGGAAAUGUGAUCGACAUAUGCCAAACAUGUGUACUCUGGAUAAUGUGAAGUAUGAUGAUUCUCGAUGUAGAAAAUUAUGGCUGCUGGAUAGAGGACAAGAUUUUACUCAUGGUGGAGUGAUUCUCAUUAGUCCAAUGUCAGUGUGGUUUUAGUAUACUAAAAAAGGUGGAGACGACAUGGUUGCAUAGAUGUAUGGCGGAUCAUAUUUUGUCGUUUAAUUAAAAAACUCGCCAAAGUGGAGAUUUUGAAGUAACAUAUCUCCUUUUUCAAUGAGGAUUUGUAAAUCCUAAAUUAAAAUAUUUCCUAGUAAUUUUUUUGUUUGGGGGGUUCAUGUUUAAGGAAUAAGUAAUUCCAAAGAAUUUAUUAAAGGAGGAAUACAAAUUAUAUAAGGAAAUAAAUAUUUCUCUUAUAUGAAACAAUCACAAUAUAUAAGAAGGUUAGAUUCACUUGUUUGCAAUAAUUAGUUCUAUACAAGUAGACAGUUUCUAGAAUGAGAGAUUAUUUGUUAUUGGGGUUUUGUAAGUGAAGAAAAUACUAGAGUGAUUGUAAUGAUCUUUACAUAGUGGAUUUUCUUUCGUCAUCUUUGGCGGCCGUGGUUUUUCUCUAGUGUAGGAAUUUUUCUCGGGUAAAUUAUUGUGUUGUAUGAUUGGUUUUAUUCUCUAUAUAUUAUCUAUUUACUAUUUAUUUGAUAUGUUUACUUACAAGAUAUUGGUAGGAUUAAAAUUUCCUAACAAAUGAUUCAAAUAUUAGAAAUAUUUAUGUAAACUAUGGUGUGCCAACCAAUCAUUCUCUACUAGAUGGCAAAGUUGUGUAUUGUAUAAUGAGAUGAUAAAUCUUUUAAAUAUUAAUUUCGAUGGAUCUUAUUGAAAUAGGUUGAUUUGACCAAAUGUUAGUCCUAUUAUGAGACAUACUAU